UACGUAGGGGGCUAGCGUUGUCCGGAAUCAUUGGGCGAAAGAGCGUGUAGGCGGCUCGGUAAGUCCGCUGUGAAAGUCCAGGGCUCAACCCUGGAAUGCCAGUGGAAACUGUCGAGCUAGAGUCCGGGAAGAGGCGAGUGGAAUUCCUGGUGUAGCGGUGAAAUGCGCAGAUAUCAGGAGGAACACCAAUGGCGAAGGCAGCUCGCUGGGACGGUACUGACGCUGAGACGCGAAAGCGUGGGGAGCAAACAGG
rnacentral:rRNA from 1 species